GUGUGGGAGAGGGUGUCCUAUAGGGUUCUUUGAGUCUUUGUUGUGGCUGGAUUAAAGGAGGAAAAAAAAAGAGGGGGGGGAGUUUGGGAUCCAGGGUCACAAAGGAGAAUAGAUUUUGCACCCCUGCUCCCUCUGCCUGCAUUCCAACCAGGCAGGCUAUGAUGAAGUAACACUGUGUCUGCUCCUGAAGCAGGCUUCAGGUCGAGAGAGAGUGCAAUUAUCCAUUCAAUGAUUUUUCCCUCCUUCUCCCUUUGGAUGGGCCCCCAAAGGAGCGGAAGAGAGAAAAUUCUGAGCAGAAAAGAGAGAUUCUUACUCCACAGUUAAAAAUUUUCUCUUAAAAUUAAUUCUCAAACUGGGUGGAUUGCUAAUGAUUUUGAUAUGGUACAAAUGUAAUGUAUUGUAGUUACUGUUUGUCAAAUGUGAAAUGUUGCCAGAUUUUUUUGAACAACAAAACUCCUGAUUAGAAGUUUGCUUUGUUAAACUUUGCAAUGCAUAAUGAUUUCAGUGAAUUAGAGAAUUGUGUAAAUGUGAUUGAUAGCAAGUCUGAUGCAGAGAGGAAAGUUUAUUCUGUAUGGACAGGAAUUGUACUGACUACUUUAUAGAUGUAAAAGUCAUUCAGAAAAACUUGUGUUGUUGAAAAGAACUUAUCCUAGAAUUGGAACUUGGGGAUCCUUCAAAUCACAUUUAUUUUAAUGUAUGUGCUGUCAGAAAUAGCAGCAAGAAAUUAUAUUACACACACAAGAAUUUUUUUUUCUUUUUUAAAUUGGUUAAUCUGUGCAUGGGAUUAAUGAGAUAAGUGCUAAGAAUUGAUGUUUUACGAAAGAGGAAAUUUUUAAAUGAUGUUGUUUUUAAUCAAGGUUAUAUGAAUUGUUUUUAAAUGUGCAAAAUGCAAAAUGCAUAGGAAGGAAUUUGUAAUCUAGAAAUGAACAUAUAUGUAUUCAGAUACCAAAUGCUGGAAAUGAGUAAUGCUAAGUGAAUGCCAAAUAUGUAUGCAUUAUAUUAUGAAGAGGAUUAAGUUUUCCACCUAACUAGGUUAAGGGUAUAUGAUAUACAACCUGUAUGCCCUUAACGAGACAAAUUCAACCGGCUCUGUAAUCGAGAGGGUUUGUCAUGAGGAUUAAAUACAGUCUAGCUUCAGAUAUAUCAGAGAGGUCAGGCUCGAACGCCAGGUAACAUGUAGCUAACUAGGGAGAAGUGAUUAAGUACAUGUGAAAGGAAAUAACUUCAUAUCUUAUAACAUAGCUAGAUAAGUUAAUAAUUGGAUUUUGGGGUGUCUGGAUUCAUUUUAUGAAGUGCUCCAUUUCAAUGAGAGUAAUGAAUAGAGAUACUAGUUGAUAUUAUGAUACAACAAAUUAUAAAUUGGGAUUUAAUCAAGUAUGUAGCAAUAUUUUGAGCUAAAAGAAAACUAAAAAGGAGGAUCUAAAUGCUUUGUACUUCAGUUUGGCUACAUACUGAAAGAUUGCUAGAGAACUUAAUCAAAGUUAUUUGGAAGUUGUGAAGUUAAACUAAAAAUUCACUGAGAGUAAAUUAUUAUGAAAGAGGUUUGAUAAAUUCAAAAUUUUAAAUUGCAGUAAGCUAGUCACUGGUUGAAGACGAAUGGGCCAGGGUUGCUAAGUAAUAAAAUCUAAGUCAAGGCCAGCAGCCUUGGAACAAAAUUGCUCAGAAGCUAUUAACCCCUUCCUUGCACCCAGGAAGGAGAAAGAAGUGCUUAUAACAUUAUGAACUGACAUAGGGGCUUCAAAGAGUUAACGACCGCUGUGUGAUAGAACUUAAAGAUGAGUAUAUUUUAAUUGUAGGAAUGGAGGUUUUAAGGUGCUCAAGCAAGCAAAUAUUGCCAGCCCUGUCUGGAAAAAAAAAAAAGCUUGUUUGCAGCUGUGGAAUCUUACUACAAACAUUCCAGGUCCAGAAUGAUAAAAAUGAGUUGAGUGAUAUGUAAUUGAUAAAGUUACCUCAUACGAGUUCUGAGGAUUGUUGGUUGAUAUUUUGGUUACAUUUUGAUCUGUAUAAGGAUAUAUGUGGCAAACAAUAGCCAAAGAGUGGGUAGGGUGUUAAAAAUGGCAUAUAUGUGAAAAUGCUUGCUCAGAAAUUUAUGACUGUUAUGUGAAUGGCUGCUAAAAUGUGUUUAAGUAUUGUCUGGAUGUAAACAAAACCUCAUUGUAAACCUGACUCUACCAUAUAGUUUGUUACCUCAGCCUACCAAUUUGUACUAUGAAUUGAAAUGUAUAAUGGUUGAGCUCUAUGCUAAAGACUUUUCAAUGAUGUAAUCCUUUAAAUCAGAAUUCUUUUGGGUUACCGAUUAGCAAUUGAAAUGAUACCAGGGGGCUGGUUGUUUGACUUAUGAUGGUAAAAGCAUGUUAGAGAAAGUGGGGAGGUAUGUUGGGUUUGAAUUUGGUAGAAGGGGACUUUGAUUUAAAGUCCAUAAAGCUUUCGUAUGUGGGUUUGUAAAGGAAGAAUGGACAGUGUAUUCUGCUUUUAAGCAGAGGGUUUUGAAAGAACAGAAAGGGAGAGAGAAGGUGAAAGGGAACAGAUGAAUGUUCUGCUCUCAAAAUUGGCUCUUUAACUUAGGGAUAAUAUAUAAAGUAAUGUAUGUGAGAAAAUCACACAUGAUUCUUUAAUUUCUCUGGACAGUUACCCUGAAGUGAUUCCUGCCUGACCUUGUCUUAGUCUUUCAGAUGGCCUAGGUCCAGGAGAUGAUACAGCCCUGAUUUAUAGGGAACUACUUAAUUCAGCACUCAUGUGAUGUGUACUACAGUACACUGUACAUCAGUGUACACUACACCUGAUGUGUAAAUACAUGAAAAUAAUUGAGUGAUCAGCCUUGUAGGGAUAUUAAAGGCUUGUUUGGGGUAUGGAGAUUUGUUUCUGGAUUGCUGAUAAGCAAAAUUUCUCUCAGCUGAAAUGGGGGAAAACUUGUCUUUUAAGGAAAAAGAAGGCUUCUGGGACUCAGUGGCAAGUGCUCUAAGGAGAGAAAAAGUUCUAAGAUGGUUAUAGAUAAGGCAGCCCAAGGCUCACUUUGGACUGAAUUUUCCUGACCAUCCUCGAGUAGAACAAUGGCAAGUGACAGCCUUGCUUGGUGUGUCUUUUGUGACUUGGAGAUAUUUCCCUUUCAGGGUCUUCUUCCUUCGUGACAAUUCCCAUGAUCAGCACAUAAUGCAAAUUGUGAUAUUAAAGUUUCCAUUUCCUCAAACAACCCUAAUAAUUGGAAAUUCUCACAUUGUUAAGAACAUGCUUUGAGAAAUAGGUGGAGUUUAUUCCUAGAUGGCUUGUAUUUGUAGCCUUAAUUUACCACAGUUGAAGUUUGGUUCUUGAGCUUGGAAAGAUAGCUCACAGCCUUCUUGAAUUUCCCCAGCCUCUGGGUAACAAAAUACAUCUGUAAGAUAUUGUUACUCCAGUGUUUAUAGAUGUUAUAGUUAAUGUGUAUUUUGCAAUGGGAUAUUCUUUAACAGAAACAGCACAUACCAGCUCUGCAAACAACUCAGGAAUAUAAUUUUUCCUCAAGGGGUCUGUUCCGGUCAGAAGAUGAUUUCUGAGGAUGAAGUCUGUUGGUUAAGAUACCCAAAUGCAAAUGUGUGAUAUUCAUUGCUAUUGUAUUAAUGUCCUGUUCCUAUCUGCUAUUUGCCCCAGUACACUUCUAUCUUAGGGGCUGACUUCCCCUUGUGACCAGUCUGCCAAUCGAGGGGAACAGUGGCUGGACACCCUUCAGAUCUCCCGGUAGUUCUCCACAGACCUGGGACCCUGGAAUUCACUGAGGAUGUGCCCCUAAAGACACUGUCUGCAGCCUUCCCUCCCCCUCUUAUUCCCCUCCCUCUCUCUCCUACACAUAGGUAGGGACAGCUCUACACCCAUGCUCAGCACUGAAGAAACUACAGAAGAUCUGGACCUCCGCCCUUUUUCCCUUAGACAUUUGGAGAGGGGAGGGGAUGGGAUGGCAGCGGGCACUGAACCAAGUGGGGCCUGAGAUUCUGGCCCUCCGUGAGGCUGUGUGGUUCCCCUAUGGAUGGCUGGGCUGGCCAGAUGGCACGACUCACCAGAAGCAGUGGGGAGACAGCUAGCAAAAGGAAUACGUGACCCACUCACUUCCAUUACUUCACUUUCUCCCCCGCCUCUUGGUCACAGAGUAUCCCUCAACUGAGAAAUACCUCAUCCCACCCGCAGGAGCGCACUAGCUGUGCCCCCAUUCUGGCCUAUAGACCUGUGUCUCCCCUAGCUCCCUCACUGCCUGCUGCACCCCCUCAUAAUAGUGCCCCAAGUGACCUACUAUGCUAAGCAGGACUUCCUCCAGAUAUGGGACCACAUUUCAUCUAAGAGAUGGAGGAGAGAACCUGUCACCAUUGCCGUUACUGUAGCCACCCUCUUAGCAGUGACAGGGGCAGGGGUGGGCAUCGCCGUCCUCGCCACACAGGCUCAGGGGUACCAACACCUUUGCAAGGCGGUCGAUGAGGACAUAGCUAGGUUGGAAUCCACCAUUAACUUCCUUGAGAAAUCCCAUGCCCCCUUAGCCGAGCUUGUCCUUCAAAAUAAACGAGGCCUGGACCUCCUCUUCCUUAAGGAAGGGGGGCCUCUGUGCAGCUUUGGGCGAAGAAUGCUGCUUCUAUGUUAACCACUCGGGGAUUAUUAGGGACUCCCUGAGGACGCUACGUGAAGGUCUAGAAUCCCGGCGGAAGGAGAGAGAGACUGCCGGCCCCUGCAGCAAGGAAGCUGGCUGAUACCAAAGGAGGAGCCUGCCAGAGGACAGAAGUGUGUGAGAGAGGAGGCUGAAGGCAUCAUCAGGACCCACCAGAUGUGAAAGACUUAAGACUUUGGGAAAUGGGGUAGUGUUUUGAUUAUUAGUUAGUUUUUGGCCAAAGGCAGACUGCCUGCCUUUCUGGCUCAAAUGUCAAUGCGUUGGGGGCAUUGGGGAAUGCCCCCAAAUGCCAGUUCCCCAAACUGAUAUCCCCGAGUUUUCCCACCAUUAGGGAUGGAGUCCAAUCUGAUAUAGCAUUACCCAUUUGUCCAUUUGUUUGGUCAGCAACGUUAGGUCUUGACCAAAAGGGGGGGGGGGGUAUCAACAUGGAAUUUAGGAAUCCCAAACUUGUGGCCUAAUGGGAUCUGAUGAGCCCCAAAUUUUAGAUUUAGCUUGUAGAUUGGAGACCCCAAAAGCUUGUACUUGUUCCCUGUUCCCAUGAGAAUCUACCCUGAAGGGAAAUGAUAAUUCUGGUUGGGUGAGAUAAACAUAUGCUAAGGACAUUCUUUGUUUUAGGUAGUGUCCCCUAUUGUAUUAGAACCUUUCUCAGGAAGUUCAGACCUGGGCAUGAACCAUCCUUUAGUAACCAUUGCAAGGAGCCCCCUUCUCUUGCACCCUAGCUUCUAGCUAUGAUUGUAUCUUGUCGGUGUAGUUUGAACACUCCCAAUUUCCUUGUAGCCAUAGUAAUGUCAAUCAUCUUUCCCUGCCCCUGAAUUUCCAAAGGGUAUAUAGGUUCCCCAAGUUCUUUUGUUCCCUGGAGUCCAUCCUGAGUUGGUGGCACUCCCAGGGGCUAGUGACCAGGGCGUCUUGACUCUGCAGUGUUGGGAAGCAGCUCUGUUGCCAUAUUAGUAGCACUAAUCCCUUUUCCCUUGAUUAAAGAGUGAUUUUGACUAUUUAAUAGUUCUGCGUUUUUUCUAGUUGACGCUAUCCUCUUGGUCACUCUCAACAUUACUUUCUAAAUUAAUAAAUCUCUUUUUUGUUUUUAAGCUAAGUUUUGGAGUCUUGCAUGCCUGCAAAAGGUAUCCUUCCCGCCCAUAACAGUAUUUAUUGAGACAGAAGGGUGUUGGAGGCAGCAUCAAUCUGUAUAUUCCAGGUCCACAGCCAGGAUCAAGGCAGAGACCAGAAUCUCCAUCCUAUGUCAUAGGGGGAUUCCUGCUCCAGAGUUGGAGGACAGAGAAGUGGCAGUCAGUGAGCACAGUCUCCAUGAGGAGAAGGAAGGGAAUGACUGGGAAGGAAUUCAAUCCUGAGGACAGAGUGGCGCUUUAAUAGACUCAUUGACUGAUUGAUGGAGAGUCCUUGUAGAGGCCAGAGGAUCUGAUUUGGGAAGCAGAUAUGAGGAAAGCUGAACUCUGGGAAGAGGCUCUUGUAAUAGUCCAGGGAGAAAUAACUGCGAGACACCUUCCUUCUGUGUGCAGUAAAAGUUCAAGGGAAUUUAGAAAUAACAUGAUGUACCCUUUUAGCCACUAUUCAAGUAACUGGGAAGCCAUCAAAUAAAAUGCAACACUUUAUUGAGAAAGAAAAAGUGUACCCCCCAAAAACUUACAACUUAAAAAGCUCUAACUUGAAGAAACCCCCUUAUUUAUAGAGAAUGACAUCAUCCUGACACAUUCUCCCUGGUCACCUCCCAGCCUUCCUGAAGGGGGUCUCCUCCAAAUGAACCUUUUUAGCAAAUGGUGGAGGGUCAAGUCAGAGGUUUUAGUCAGCAAACAAGCCCAGAAUAGUUUAUGACACAUUCUGGGUGCAGGGCUGAUGGGGAGAUGGCUCCUUCUGACCAGCCACUCUUGUGCUUUCUGGGAGCUUCCAGUGCAGCUCCCACAUUCCCUAAUGCCCCCCUUUCCAGGAUGGAACGAGGCUGGUCGUCUGCCCCCAGGCCUGUCUCCACACAGGGGCUCUUCUUGUAGCCAGGCUCUGGUCCAAGGGGCCUCUCCCAAGAGCCAGCAGGGCUGAGAGACCGCUAGUUCUGGGUAGGGAGGAAGCCCUUUGCGGUGAACACCAUCUUCUCCAGGGAGUGUAGGAGAGCAGAGAGAAGCCCCAGUUCAUGUCACUCCUCUGGCUGUCUAGCUUGGCACCUGACAGGACCAUUCCCAGUCUCUGGGGUCUAACCUGAUUUUCAGUCCAUCCUCCAGGAAUCCAUCUGAUUUUUGAGCUUGAUAGGGGAGAGCAGAUGAUGGAUAAUCCUCAUCCUGCAGACCUGAACAAGAGAGAAGGGGCCUUCUGGGGACAGUGUGCCAGGUCCUGAGCCAGGGAGAGCCAAGGGCAGGGGGAUCUCCAGGCUCAGCAGAGGGGUGGCUGCUUCACCAGGCAAUGCCUCCAGGAGCACCUAGUAGGAGCCCUGGGUGCAGGGAGCAGCUGGUGCUCCUGUGGGGACAGUCACCCAAACUGCCCAGAAUUUCAGCAUCUCCCAGCCCAGAAGUGAGUCAGACCUCCAGGAAGAAGGUCCCAUGUGCCAGGCACUGUGUUACCUGAGGGACUGGGCAGUGGGACACAGAGAAAGGCCACAGUCCAGGCCCUGGAGAAGCUCAUAGGCUAAUGGAGAUGAUAGCAUGGAAAGGUUUGGGCACAUCAAAUUCUGUUGGGAAUAAUGUGGAAAUCCCCAGCAGAAGGGAGGCCCCAGAAGGAAGGGGAUUGGCAAAGGCUUUCUGAGAAGGCAGGAUUCUAGCUGGGACUUGAAGGAAGCCAGGAGGCAGUGAUGAGGAGGGAGAGUGUUCCAGACAGGGGGGAUCCCAGAGACAGUGCCCAGAGGUGAGAGAUGGAGGGUCUAGCAGGAGGGAUAGCAGGGAAGCCAGUGUCACUGGUCACAGAGCACUUGGGGGGAGGGAGGAGUAAGGGGUGAGAAGACUGGACAGGAGCAGGCCAGCUUGUGAAGGACUUUGAAGGCCAAACAGGGUGUUUUAUUUGAUCUCAGUAGGAAUAGGGAGCCCCUGGGAUUUAUGGAGCAGGUGGGUGGCCUGGUCAGUUCUGGGCUUGAGGAAGAACAAUGUGGCAUCUGAUGGAGAAGAGUCUAGAGGGGGAGAGACUGGUGGAAAGAGAUGAGAGCCUGUAGCAAGGUGGAGGCUGGGUCAAAGGAGAAAAAGGGCUAAAUCUGAGAUGUGACAAAGGCAAAAUGCCAAGUUUUGUCAAGAGCUUCAGUCUGAGAGAUGAGAAUGAGGAUGAGCCUGGCUGUGAGCCUGGGGGCCUGGGAGGAGGAUGCUUUCCUAUCAGUAGCAGGAAAAGAAUCCCUGUCUGGGAGGACAAUGUCCACAGACUGGGUCAAGCUCAGGGAGUCAUUGAGGCAGGUUCAAAGAGCACUUGGACCUGAGCUCAGCUUUCCUUUAGGUGAAAGGAGAAAAGAAGAUAGGAAAGGAAAAAUUAGGCAGGUUACUUGACUUGUCUGUGGAGGUGAAGGAAGGAGAGACACAAGUACCCAAAUGCUCCAGUUUGUUAGAGCUGUUGGGAGGCAGAAUGGUGAUGCCAUGGAUCAAAAUCAAGAAGUCAGGAGGAAGAUUUGAUUUCAGAGACAAUGUGAUAAUGAAUUCUCUAUGUUUACUUUGAAGUGUUGGCCCCAUCCAGGGAGAGAUGUUUGGUAGGAUUUGGAAAUGGAGGGAGGGACUCUAUGAGGAAGGGUGAGCCAUGGUGAAGACUGAGGAGACAUCUGUAGAGGUGAGCAGUGAAGGCUGGAAGGGAAUAGAUAGAUGUCUAAGGAAGGGAGUAGAGAGUGGAGAAGAGAGGGAAGUAACUGAAUCAUGAGUAUGUGAAGUGAUGGAGAAGGGCAAGAGGAAUCUGCUUAGGAGAAGGGAGGCAGUUUGUGCAGUAAGAAAAAGGGAAGGACAGUGAAGGGUCACAGAUGACCAGGGGAGGCAGGAGGUCAGGGAUGUCACCAUCAGGGUCAAAGGCUGCAGGGACAGAAGGAUGAGUUUAGAGGCAAAAUUUUUGUAAUUUGUUGAAGGAGGUGAUUGGGGGGAACCACUUCCUCUAAAGCUUUAGCAAUCAUUUUACACUCCACAUCAAAAAUUAUGCCCUAGAGGACCUUGUGCUCUGAGGCUCUACUUUUUUGAAUGGUGUGAACCCUCAGAACUAUUUCAGAAAAGUUGCUGCCAUGCUUCACUUCAUUCCUUUCUCUGAAGCAACUUCCUUCCCAUACCCCUUGCUAAGCUCUUCAUAGAGAUGCAUCUUCCUUUUUCUCACACCUCCACUCCUUCACCCUCAGAGACAUAUUUGGAGCCAAAAAGUGUGAUCUGAUCUACAUUUAUUCCUCUGUAAGAUCCCCACCACUACCUUUGAUCCAAAGUGUCCCUUCUGAGCUAUUCUUGCCCUGUGGAUAUUCUUUCCCUUAUCAGGAUGCCUGCUCCUCCAAAGUGGGGCCCAUCUUUACAUUUGCAUUCAUAUUCUCAAACAUAGCACAUAGUAAGUGAUAAGUCAAUUUUUUCAUUCAUUCAUUGAAGAAUAGUUUUAUGAACCUGGAAUAUUCAGAUGUAAGUGAGAGGACUGUAGAUAUAGAUAAAUAUUUAGAUUUUUAAAAAUCUUUAUUUUAUAUUAUUUUAAAAUCUCUUUCCAAGAUUCUUGUUUCCCUUAUCUCUUUCCUCCCCACUCCUGGAGUUGCCAAGCAAGCUGACAUGAAUAUUUAGAGAAAUUUGUUUGAAAAAGGAAGUAGAGGAAUAGGUCAUAAUCUAGAGAGGAAAAGAAAAUCAAGGGAAUGACAGUUCCAUAUAAUGAAUAGUUGUGUAUAUUUCAGUCUUCAUACUCCAAUGGAUCCAGGAUCUUAUAGAUUUUUCCUUUAAAGAAAUUCAUAGAACUUUUUCCAAGGUACAUAUCUCAACUCAGUCAUGCCUGCCCAUUCUUUGUGACUCUUGUCCUUUUUCUCCCAUUAAUUUCCACAAAAUGUCCACCAAAUUUCAUAGCACUCAUCCUUAUUGUUGACUCAGAUUGUAAGGAUACCUGUGGAUCCCACUGUUUGUUCAUGCAGUAUCAUUUUUUAUUGGCAUGUUUGCAGUUUACUUUGUCUUUCUGUCAUGUAUUUCCUUGACAACGCCUUUUACUCCUGCCCCUUCUUUGGAAGAUUAAUAUAUGGUAACCUGAUUCUACCCACCCUAAACCCUGUCUUGUGUGUGAUAUUCACACUUAAUUCUUCCAAGGCAUUUGUAAGCCAUGUCUCACUACCAUAUUGUAAUCCCUUGAGAAUGCUAAUAUUAAAAAGACAACCUUUGUUUUUUUGAGAACCAUCAGGUCAGUGAAGGAGCUUUCGGAUUUCUGCCAGAAAUGCAAACCGUUCUACUCUUCCUAAUCAAAUUAGUGUCCAAUUUGUGCCCAACUCAUUGCCUAUCUGUGUUUCUAUCAGAUAGACAUAAGAACAGACAAUUUCUAGAAAAUGUCCAAUCCAAAUAGCAUAUAAAUGCAGCAAUAAAGAAGUCUUAUCACAGUCAAUGGUCGAAUAUAAUCAGUAUAAGCAAUUAUUCAAAAUCAACAGAAGGUACUCUUUUUACAUGGAUUCAAUGAAUCCAGUUUUUAUGGCUGUUGGGGUAGUUAUUAGGAUCUGGAAUGGUGAGUCAAGCCAGUAUGUUUCAAAUUCUUUAUGUACACACUAUCAUCUAGGUUUAAAUCAUGAAGCGAGAAAUCUAUGGGACCUGCUUAAACAGUAGCUCCAGAGUCAUGGAAUUCUUGUGAUUUUGUUUGUAAUUGUCUGAUAUAUGUAGCAAUGGUUGUAUCCCUUCCUAACAAUGAAGUAUAGGCAGGGGUCAAUGGUUAUACCUGAAUAGGUGGAUGUCCAAAUAGCAUCUCAAAUGUUGAGAUGUAUAAAUCACUUCUGGGUCUGCUUCUGAGAUAGAAUAGGGCUAGAGGUAGAAUUUUGGGCCACUUUAAAUGAGUCUCAAUGCACAAUCUGCCAAUCAUGGUUUUAAGUUCUUUAUUCAUUCAAUUAAAUUGACUGGAGCUCUGGGGAUGAUAUGGUAUAUGAAAUUUAGGAGUUAUCCCGAAACAUGAAUAAAUUUGCGAUGAGCUCAAAUCAGUAAAAUGAGUUCCUUUAUCUAAAUCAAUACAUGUUGGCAGGCCAAAACGAGGAAAAUUUCUUUCAAAAGGACUUUAGCAACAAAAGCCUCUGUGUUAUGAGCAGUAGGAAACACUUCAGGCCACCUGGUCAGUUGAUCAACUAUGACCAGAUAAAAUUUAUACUGUCUAGCUUUUGGCAUAGAGAUAAAUUCAGUUUACAUAUCCUCAAACAGUAUGUAAGCAAGAGGAUGUCUAACAAAGGCUUAUUAUUGAAAGACAUGUUGAUUAAAAGCUUGGCAGGUAGGACAAGCUGUACAUACUUUGGAGGCAAGUGUAGUUAUUCCGGGUGCUAGCCAUACUCUUUUUUUUUUAACAUUAUU